rnacentral:rRNA from 1 species
AUACGGAGGAUGCGAGCGUUAUCCGGAUUUACUGGGCGUAAAGGGCGUGUAGGCGGGAAGGCAAGCCCGAUGUGAAAACUCUGGGCUCAACCCAUGGGCUGCAUUUGAAACUGGUUAUCUUGAGUGCAGGAGAGGCAAUAGGAAUUCCGAGAGUAGCGGUGAAAUGCGUAGAGAUGCGGAGGAACACCAGUGGCGAAGGCGGCUUACUGGCCAGCAACUGACGCUGAGGCGCGAAAGCCAGGGGAGCGAACGGGAUUAGAUACCCCGGUAGUCCAGGCCGUAAACGAUGAAUGCUAGGUGUAGGGGGUAUCGACCCCUUCUGUGCCGCAGUUAACACAAUAAGCAUUCCGCCUGGGGAGUACGGCCGCAAGGUUGAAACUCAAAUGAAUUGGCGGGG